GGUUAAGUGACUAAGCGUAUACGGUGGAUGCCUUGGCAGUCAGAGGCGAUGAAGGACGUAGUAACUUGCGAAAAGCGUUGGCGAGCUAGUAACAAGCAUUUGAGCUAACGAUGUCCGAAUGGGGAAACCCGACCACAUAAGUGGUCAUCAUACAGUGAAUACAUAGCUGUAUGAGGCGAACUCGGGGAACUGAAACAUCUAAGUACCCGAAGGAAAAGAAAUCAACCGAGAUUCCCCUAGUAGCGGCGAGCGAACGGGGAUUAGCCCUUAAGUCUAUGGGGUGUUAGUGGAAUGUGUUGGAAAGCACAGCGGCACAGGGUGAUAGCCCCGUACACGAAAACUAACCAUAGAUGAAAUCGAGUAAGGCGGGACACGUGACAUCCUGUUUGAAUAUGGGGGGACCAUCCUCCAAGGCUAAAUACUCCUGACUGACCGAUAGUGAACCAGUACCGUGAGGGAAAGGCGAAAAGAACCCCUGUGAGGGGAGUGAAAUAGAACCUGAAACCGUAUACGUACAAGCAGUGGGAGCGGUUCUUGAGACCGUGACUGCGUACCUUUUGUAUAAUGGGUCAGCGACUUACGUUUUGUAGCGAGGUUAAGCGAAUAGCGGAGCCGUAGGGAAACCGAGUGUUAACUGCGCGUUUAGUUGCAAGGCGUAGACCCGAAACCGAGUGAUCUAGCCAUGGGCAGGUUGAAGGUUGAGUAACAUCAACUGGAGGACCGAACCGACUAAUGUUGAAAAAUUAGCGGAUGACUUGUGGCUGGGGGUGAAAGGCCAAUCAAACUCGGAGAUAUCUGGUUCUCCUCGAAAGCUAUUUAGGUAGCGCCUCGAGCGAAUACCACUGGGGGUAGAGCACUGUUAAGGCUAGGGGGUCAUCCCGACUUACCAACCCUUUGCAAACUCCGAAUACCAGUGAGUACUACUCGGGAGACAGACGGCGGGUGCUAACGUCCGUCGUCAAAAGGGAAACAACCCAGACCAUCAGCUAAGGUCCCAAAGUUAUUGCUAAGUGGGAAACGAUGUGGGAAGGCUUAGACAGCUAGGAUGUUGGCUUAGAAGCAGCCAUCAUUUAAAGAAAGCGUAAUAGCUCACUAGUCGAGUCGGCCUGCGCGGAAGAUUUAACGGGGCUAAGCAAUACACCGAAGCUAUGGGUUUGC
rfam:Shewanella sp. P1-14-1 AN944_contig000065, whole genome shotgun sequence.